CUUGUAUGGGUCGGUGCCGGUACCGUCUGGUGCGAUAGGACGACGGCGCGAACGGAAGUCCGGUGCAAGCCCGGCACGGUCGCGCCACUGUGUGCUGUACGACCCCCGCACCGCGGGAAGUUGUGCAGUGAGUCAGACCCGGCGCCGUCGUCGCGUGCUCCAA
rnacentral:ncRNA from 1 species